AACGUAGGAGACAAACGUUAUCCGGAGUUACUGGGCGUAAAGGGCGUGUAGGUGGUUUCGUAAGUCUGGCGUGAAAUUUUUCGGCUUAACCGGGAAAGGUCGUCGGAUACUGCGGAACUAGAGGACGGUAGAGGCGUGUGGAAUUCCGGGUGUAGUGGUGAAAUGCGUAGAGAUGUGGAGGAACACCGAUGGCGAAGGCAGCCCCCUGGGUCAAGAUUGACGCUCAUGCACGAAAGCGUGGGGAGCAAACAGG
rnacentral:rRNA from 1 species